UCCUACACCGAUCAAAGCCAGCUUGCGCGAGGAUAUCUAUGCGAAGGUCAUGUAAGAGGCCAAGACUUUGGAACUCACUCGGAGGUGGAGUUUUUGUCAUCCCCAAGAGCUGUGCAGACGUUUCCUGAGCCGACAGUCCAUGAAAUUCACUUUAGAAGGACAUAGAAAUCAUUUAAACA